GCUGAGUAUGGUAGUGCACACCUGUAAUCCCAGUGACUUGGGAGGCUGAGGCAGGAGGAUUGAAAGUUUGGGGCCAGCCUCAGCAAUUUAGCAAAAUCUUGUCUCAA
rnacentral:sRNA from 1 species